UUACCUGCAAGUCGAACGGUGAACACGGAGCUUGCUCUGUGGGAUCAGUGGCGAACGGGUGAGUAACACGUGAGCAACCUGCCCCUGACUCUGGGAUAAGCGCUGGAAACGGCGUCUAAUACUGGAUAUGUGACGUGACCGCAUGGUCUGCGUUUGGAAAGAUUUUUCGGUUGGGGAUGGGCUCGCGGCCUAUCAGCUUGUUGGUGAGGUAAUGGCUCACCAAGGCGUCGACGGGUAGCCGGCCUGAGAGGGUGACCGGCCACACUGGGACUGAGACACGGCCCAGACUCCUACGGGAGGCAGCAGUGGGGAAUAUUGCACAAUGGGCGAAAGCCUGAUGCAGCAACGCCGCGUGAGGGAUGACGGCCUUCGGGUUGUAAACCUCUUUUAGCAGGGAAGAAGCGAAAGUGACGGUACCUGCAGAAAAAGCGCCGGCUAACUACGUGCCAGCAGCCGCGGUAAUACGUAGGGCGCAAGCGUUAUCCGGAAUUAUUGGGCGUAAAGAGCUCGUAGGCGGUUUGUCGCGUCUGCUGUGAAAUCCCGAGGCUCAACCUCGGGCCUGCAGUGGGUACGGGCAGACUAGAGUGCGGUAGGGGAGAUUGGAAUUCCUGGUGUAGCGGUGGAAUGCGCAGAUAUCAGGAGGAACACCGAUGGCGAAGGCAGAUCUCUGGGCCGUAACUGACGCUGAGGAGCGAAAGGGUGGGGAGCAAACAGGCUUAGAUACCCUGGUAGUCCACCCCGUAAACGUUGGGAACUAGUUGUGGGGUCCAUUCCACGGAUUCCGUGACGCAGCUAACGCAUUAAGUUCCCCGCCUGGGGAGUACGGCCGCAAGGCUAAAACUCAAAGGAAUUGACGGGGACCCGCACAAGCGGCGGAGCAUGCGGAUUAAUUCGAUGCAACGCGAAGAACCUUACCAAGGCUUGACAUAUACGAGAACGGGCCAGAAAUGGUCAACUCUUUGGACACUCGUAAACA
rnacentral:rRNA from 1 species